rnacentral:rRNA from 1 species
UUCGAUCGNUCGACGCGGGCGGNUNGCCGCCCGCGNCUCGGCGAGAAGUCCUUUGAACCUUAUCCUUUAGAGGAAGGAGAAGUCGUAACAAGGUUUCCGUAGGUGAACCUGCGGAAGGAUCAUUG